ACGAAGGACAAAGAUGUAGAAGGUUCAAGAAAACUCACUUUCUGGUCUGACCUUUUCUGGUCUGGUCUUGUCAGACCUUUGCACACAGGUUUCUGGUGAAUGGACCAUGACAUUUAAAAUCCCAAGUCUCAAAAACCACAAAGACUAGUUAUUUCCAGAGAAGUCACUAGGAAAAAGAAGAAGAGGUUGGUAGGGGGAGGCUGGAAGUCUGUGUCCCAGGGCAUGAUCCCUCUGUCUGGAAAGACUCAACAGGAAAACAUCCCUACCCAGGGUUCCACAUCAGCAG
rnacentral:lncRNA from 1 species